AUCUACAGCCAUGCUAUCCUAAACAAGCUCGAUCCUGUCUGAUCUCGGAAGUUAAGCAAAGUCGGGCCGGGUUAGUACUUGAGAGACCACCUAGAAAGAUCAGGUGCUUUAGGCG
rnacentral:rRNA from 1 species